rnacentral:tRNA from 2 species
CAAAGUGUAGCUUAAUAAAAGCACCCGGCUUACACCCAGGAGAUUUCACAAUAUCGAUGACCACUUUGAACCAAAA